AGAGUUUGAUCCUGGCUCAGGACGAACGCUGGCGGCGUGCUUAACACAUGCAAGUCGAACGGAAAGGCCCCUUCGGGGGUGCUCGAGUGGCGAACGGGUGAGUAACACGUGGGUGAUCUGCCCUGCACUUCGGGAUAAGCUUGGGAAACUGGGUCUAAUACCGGAUAGGACCACGGCCUGCAUGGGUUGUGGUGGAAAGCUUUUGCGGUGUGGGAUGGGCCCGCGGCCUAUCAGCUUGUUGGUGGGGUGAUGGCCUACCAAGGCGACGACGGGUAGCCGGCCUGAGAGGGUGUCCGGCCACACUGGGACUGAGAUACGGCCCAGACUCCUACGGGAGGCAGCAGUGGGGAAUAUUGCACAAUGGGCGCAAGCCUGAUGCAGCGACGCCGCGUGGGGGAUGACGGCCUUCGGGUUG
rnacentral:rRNA from 1 species